GAGAAAGAACAUCAUAAUCAAGCACUGAAGCAGUAAAGGUUUGGGAAGAAGUGGUUUCCUGCUUUCUGUACUACAGCUGAAGAACAAACAAUGUCAAAGGCAAGAUCAGAAAACGAAUUGGAAUUUGAAAUUCUUUUUGGAAACCAUGGACACCGUGUUCUAUAAACAAGAGGAAAGCGACCAUCCGGCUUUUUUAUCAGCACUCUAGAAGCCUGCAUCUCUGAUGGUAUGGGGUGCAUUAGUGCCUCUGGAAUGGGCAGCUUGAACAUCUGGAAAGGCACCAUCAAUGCAGAAAGCACAAAAGAAUGACUCAGUUCUGCCAGAUUAGAAAGCUGGGUGACUGGCCAAAGCAAGCCACUUCAUGUGAUGUCACUUUCAGUGUAAUGUUAACUCGACUAAACCAUUUCUCAUCGCUGGGUAAACUUCUGUCUUCUUCAGUCUCUCUAUACUCUACUUCAGUCCAAGCAAGAUGGCUUUUGAGUUUCUUCCAUUCUAGGGAGAACUGAUCAGUUCAUCGAUUUAAAUGAUUAAAAAUGGUUCACCCAAAAUCUUCACCUUUACUUAUAAAUAAUCACGGAUGCUGUAUCAAAUUUAAUAUGUACUAUUUACAUGAGCCUACUACAUGUAAUCAGAAAUAAAAUAAUGCCACCAACUGAAUGCUGUAGUAGUUGUAGCACAGUGGUGGCCUACAGAGUGGACUGGACCUUGGCCUUAUGCAAAUGAGGAGAAUUAGGGA